rnacentral:rRNA from 1 species
UACGGAAGGGGGCUAGCGUUGUUCGGAAUUACUGGGCGUAAAGGCUCGUAGGCGGCCAACUAAGUCAGACGUGAAAUCCCCAGGCUCAACCUGGGAACUGCGUCUGAUACUGGAUGGCUUGAAUUCGGGAGAGGGAUGCAGAAUUCCAGGUGUAGCGGUGAAAUGCGUAGAUAUCAGGAGGAACACCGAUGGCGAAGGCAGUUCUCUGGGCCGUAACUGACGCUGAGGAGCGAAAGCGUGGGGAGCGAACAGG